GUUUUGCUCUUGGGAGUAUUGAGGGGAGAGUGGCCAUUCACUACAUCAACCCUCCAAAUCCGGCCAAAGAUAACUUCACCUUCAAAUGCCAUCGAUCCAACGGUACCAACACUUCUGCUCCUCAAGACAUCUAUGCAGUACGUUCCAGCAGCACUCCAUCUUGAAGGGGUACCUGUGGAGCCAGACUUGGAGCUGGUUCUCCAGUGUACUGGAACCAGGAGUUGUGGGAGGGACAGGGGACACUUGACAACCUCCUCUGGCCCCAUGCAUUUGCUCACAUGCCUGCACAUUGCUGUUCAAGGUUGCAGACUCCAGUGCUCUUUUACAAACCUGCUACCUAGCUGUCUUUAAUGGCUUGGAAUGUGAGGUUGAGACUUGUCUAUGGGUGUCCAUGGGCAAUUUCCACCAUAGUGAUGGUGUGACGGUCAAGAAAUCAGUCUGCUGAGAGAAAUCCCACACUUUUUCCUGAGGUUGCUACUUAGUGUGGCCAGUGGGUGCAAAUGUGAAUUCCUAUUUGGGAAGAUCCUGAGGUUUAGUUUAGCUCAGGGUUAGUUCUAAGCUGCUGCUGGCUGUCUCAGACAGCAUGGCUGGGGAGGGAAAUGUGCCCAUGUGUGUGUGGUG
rnacentral:lncRNA from 1 species